AGAGUUUGAUUAUGGCUCAGGAUUAACGCUGGCGGCAUGCCUAAUACAUGCAAGUCGAAUGGAAAGCUUGCUUUCCAUGGCGAACGGGUGAGUAACACGUAGGUAACCUGUCUUAAGGACGAGGAUAACCUUUGGAAACGAAGGAUAAUACUGGAUAGGACAUAUAGAAGCACAUGCUUAAAUGUUUAAAGGAGCAAUCCACCAUAAGAGGGGCCUGCGGCGCAUUAGCUAGUUGGUGAGAUAAAGGCCCACCAAGGCGAUGAUGCGUAGCUGGACUGAGAGGUUGAACAGCCACAAUGGGACUGAGAACGGCCCAUACUCCUACGGGAGGCAGCAGUAGGGAAUUUUCGGCAAUGGGCGAAAGCCUGACCGAAGCAAUGCCGCGUGAUCGAAGAAGUAUUUCGGUAUGUAAAGAUCUUUUAUUUGGGAAGAAAAAACAAAUUGACGGUACCAAAUGAAUAGGCUCCGGCUAACUACGUGCCAGCAGCUGC
rnacentral:rRNA from 1 species